AUUACGCACUUGGUGAGGGCAUCCUGCAGGAAUGAAAACUGCCUCUCCAAGUCUUUGCUCGAAUGUCCAAGGUUCAAUCCCUAAAAUGUUUUCUCUUGUGCUCCAUAGUUAGGUAGAAGCUCUGGUCAUGGAUUGGAUGAAAAACCUGAUCAACCGGACAACAGAAAGUGUGCCUAAAUUCCUUUGCAUGCUUUAAAAGAUACUCAUUCAACUUGGCAGGUAAUGCAUCAUGGACAGAAUACUGAACUGGGAAAAGCAAUAAACUGCUAUCAAGGACUGGCCAUGAGGUUUAUGAGUCUCACUAGACAACAUAAGGCAGAAGAGAUUGGAUGAAUGUGGUGGUUCUAUAUAUUUGGAAUAAAAUGUUAGUUUUUCACCCAUUUUGGAAUUUUCAUACAAUUGAGAUACCUUCUUACCAGGUCCUUGUCGAUUUGGUCAUAGUUUUUGGAUGUGAGCUAAGGUAAUAUCCUCCAAGUUGUGAUUUCAAGUAUUAACCAGGGCUAUUCACAAGUCAACACAUAUAUUAAGGAGGUGGCAUUGACAUGAGAAUAAAGUGAAGAAAUCAAAUGAAUGAACUACAAUAGUCCCGUCAAAAUCAUACCGCAUCUGACAUAUCACAGUGAAGCUUUGUCACUGAAUCCCCUCUCCCAAGUUCCUUGGUGACACCAUACGCGAUGUAUGUCUUUGGACCCAAAUCUGGUUUUAUGACUCCAGCCGGUAAUUUAACAGCAAGAUUCAGAAUCCCUAUCCUUGGAUCUGUGUACUCUUGGAAUGGUAAUGCACUGAUGAAUUCAUCGCAGUGCCGAGGCAAGAGAUUCUCAAACUUGUCAGAUGGUGGCCAAUCUUUAAGUUUGAGCAUUUCAGGCCAAAGAUUUUCAUACCUUCUGCCUUCUGUAUAACCUUUAAAAAACUUUCGAGUAUUGAUCGGAACCUGUGAAAGUUAUAUGUAAUGUGAAGCUUAGCACAA